AAAUGCUAAAAUUUUUCAGAGUCUUGACAAGAAUGCUCUAAUAGAAGUGCCGAAUGGCAAAAAUUUCAUCUCAAAUAAGAAAAAGCAAAAGCAAAGAACUAGACCUCAUAAAAUUGAAAUAGAGCACAAAGAGGAAAAGAUCAGAUUUGAAAAUGAUUCCAAAAUGCUUUUUGUCCUUUGCAUAAAUGGAAGGAAAUGCAUCCAAGGUGAAGGACUAGGAAGCUCUUAUACAACUUGACAUUGAGGAAAAUCUUCAAUGGUGUCUUUGUUAUAGCAAAUGAAUUUAUAAUUGAAAAGCAGUGGAGCCUUAUGUUACCUACCGGUAGGAGACACAAAACCUUUUCUUAUUGCUAUGCAAUAAAUAUAAAC